UACGGGGGGAGCAAGCGUUGUUCGGAUUUACUGGGCGUAAAGGGCGCGUAGGCGGCCUGUGCAAGUCAGUUGUGAAAUCUCCGAAGCUUAACUCGGAACGGUCAACUGAUACUGCUCGGCUAGAGUGGCGGAAGGGGCAACUGGAAUUCUCGGUGUAGCGGUGAAAUGCGUAGAUAAUCGAGAGGAACACCUGCGGCGAAGGCGGGUUGCUGGGCCGACACGUGACGCUGGAUGCGCGAAAGCCAGGG
rnacentral:rRNA from 1 species